rnacentral:rRNA from 1 species
CCUACGGGUGGCAGCAGUGGGGAAUAUUGCACAAUGGGGGAAACCCUGAUGCAGCGACGCCGCGUGAGUGAAGAAGUAAUUCGUUAUGUAAAGCUCUAUCAGCAGGGAAGAAAAUGACGGUACCUGAGUAAGAAGCCCCGGCUAAAGACGUGCCAGCAGCCGCGGUAAUACGUAGGGGGCAAGCGUUAUCCGGAUUUACUGGGUGGAAAGGGAGCGUAGACGGCAGUGCAAGUCUGGAGUGAAAGGCGGGGGCUCAACCCCCGGACUGCUCUGGAAACUGUACGGCUGGAGUGCAGGAGAGGUAAGUGGAAUUCCUAGUGUAGCGGUGAAAUGCGUAGAUAUUAGGAGGAACACCAGUGGCGAAGGCGGCUUACUGGACUGUAACUGACGUUGAGGCUCGAAAGCGUGGGGAGCAAACAGGAUUAGAUACCCUUGUAGUC